ACUCCCUUAGCUCAACAGAAGAGCCGCCGCCUCAUAAGCGGUUGGUUGUUGGUGCAAGUCCAGCAGGGAGUACCA
rnacentral:tRNA from 1 species